rnacentral:rRNA from 1 species
ACGCUCGACACCUACAGGAGGCAGCAGUUAGGAAUAUUGGGCAAUGGAGGAAACUCUGACCCAGCAACGCCGCGUGAAGGAAGAAGGUUUUCGGAUUGUAAACUUCUGAUCUAGGGGAAGAAGGAAGUGACGGUACCCUAGGAGAAAGCCACGGCUAACUACGUGCCAACAGCCGCGGUAAUCUGAGCGGGCUGGCAAGGC